UCUUAUUAUAGGGGUGCUGUUGGUGUGCGUUCUUCUGGGCGUGGCGCGGCGGCUGAGAUUAUACCCAUUGAACCUGAUGCAGGUAAUGCUGCCGUUAGGGAUGUUUUUUUCUGGGAAA
rnacentral:ncRNA from 1 species